UACAGAGGGUGCAAACGUUGUUCGGAAUUACUGGGCGUAAAGCGUGUGUAGGCGGCUAGGUAAGUCGGAUGUGAAAGCCCCGGGCUCAACUCGGGAAGUGCACUCGAUACUGCUUAGCUCGAGUACCGGAGAGGUUGGUGGAAUUCUCGGUGUAGAGGUGAAAUUCGUAGAUAUCGAGAGGAACACCGGUGGCGAAGGCGGCCAACUGGACGAGUACUGACGCUGAGACACGAAAGCGUGGGGAGCAAACAGG
rnacentral:rRNA from 1 species